GGUCCCAUAGCUCAGUUGGUCAGAGCGUCGUACUAAUAUUAUAAUUACAAUCAUAACAUUAGUAAUGCGAAGGCCGUGAGUUCAAGCCUCACUGGGACCA